rnacentral:rRNA from 1 species
CGAAGAGUGCUGCAGUUCUCGCAGCAUCCACGAGUGGUCGGUGGGACCUUGAAAAUCCUAGGGAGAUUACGGCGGACUCACGCCAGCUCGUACCCAUAUCCGCAGCAGGUCUCCAAGGUGAACAGCCUCUGGUCGAUAGGAUAAUGUAGGUAAGGGAAGUCGGCAAAUUGGAUCCGUAACUUCGGGAUAAGGAUUGGCUCUGAGGGUUGGGGCGGUCGGGCUUAGCACAGGAAGCGGCUGCAUCCACCGGCG